GCGGGAGUAGCUCAGUUGGUAGAGCAUCACCUUGCCAAGGUGAGGGUCGCGGGUUCAAGUCCCGUCUCCCGCU
rnacentral:tRNA from 1 species